AUCCAGUUGACGAGUCUCAAAUAGGACGAAACGCACGUCUGGAU
rfam:Schistosoma curassoni strain Dakar, Senegal genome assembly, scaffold: SCTD_contig0013989